AUCAAUAUAGUUUAAAAAAAACAGCAAUUUUGUAAAUUGACAUUAUAUUUUAUUGUUAUUGAUA